GUCUUUUUGAUUUAAUUUAAAGUCUGACCUGCCCCCUGAGGAGUUUAAAGGCUGCAGUAUCUUGACUGUACAAAGGUAGCAUAAUCAUUAGUCUCUUAAUUAGAGGCUUGUAUGAAUGGUUUGACGAAGGAACAACUGUCUCAAUUUAAUUUUUUUUGAAAUUUAUAUUUAAGUUAGAAAGCUUAAAUGUUUUUAAAAGACGAGAAGACCCUAUAGAGUUUUAUAAAUUAGUAUAGUUAAUGCUUUUUAGUAUAAUUAGGGUUAUCUUUAUGAAUUUAUUUUGUUGGGGUGAUAGAAAAAUUAGAUUAACUUUUUUUAUUUAAAACAAUAAUGUUUGAUUAAAUGAUCCGUUUAGGCGAUUAUAAGAUUAAAUUACCUUAGGGAUAACAGCGUAAUUUUUUUUGAGAGUUCUUAUUAAAAAGAAAGUUUGCGACCUCGAUGUUGGAUUAAAAUUAAUAGUUGGUGUAGAAGCUAACUUAUUAGGUCUGUUCGACCUUUGAAAUUUUACGUGAUCUGAGUCCCAAACCGGA
rnacentral:rRNA from 1 species